GGGAGUAGCUUGCUACUCUGCCGGCGAGCGGCGGACGGGUGAGUAAAGUCUGGGGAUCUGGCUUAUGGAGGGGGGUAACCAUUGGAAACGGUGGCUAAUACCGCAUGAUGUCGCAAGACCAAAGUGGGGGACUUUAGGGCCUCACGCCAUAAGAUGAACCCAGAUGAGAUUAGCUAGUAGGUGCGGUAAUGGCGUACCUAGGCGACGAUCUCUAGCUGGUCUGAGAGGAUGACCAGCCACACUGGAACUGAGAAACGGUCCAGACUCCUACGGGAGGCAGCAGUGGGGAAUAUUGCACAAUGGGCGGAAGCCUGAUGCAGCCAUGCCGCGUGUGUGAAGAAGGCCUUAGGGUUGUAAAGCACUUUCAGCGGGGAGGAAGGCGGUAAGAGUAAUAUGCUUAUCGAUUGACGUUACCCGCAAAAGAAGCACCGGCUAACUCCGUGCCAGCAGCCGCGGUAAUACGGAGGGUGCGAGCGUUAAUCGGAAUAACUGGGCGUAAAGGGCAUGUAGGCGGUAAGUUAAGUCAGAUGUGAAAUCCCCGAGCUUAACUUGGGAACGGCAUUUGAGACUGGCGGGCUAGAGUUUUGUAGAGGGGGGUAGAAUUCCAGGUGUAGCGGUGAAAUGCGUANAGAUCUGGAGGAAUACCGGUGGGCGAAGGCGGCCCCCUGGACAAGGACUGACGCUGAGGUGCGAAAGCGUGGGGUAGCAAACAGGAUUAGAUACCCUGGUAGUCCACGCUGUAAACNAUGUCGAUUUGGANGUUGUGGCCUANUGUUAUGGCGUCCGAAGCUAACGCGAUAAAUCGACCGCCUNGGGAGUACNGGCCGCAAGNUAAAAACUCAAUGAUUUGACGGGGGCCCNCACAAGCGGUG
rnacentral:rRNA from 1 species